UGAACGCCUCUAAGGCUGAAGCCAGCUUA
rnacentral:sRNA from 1 species